rnacentral:rRNA from 1 species
AAAAAUUUUUUAAAAGGCCGCAGUAUUUUGACUGUGCAAAGGUAGCAAAGUCAUUAGGUUUUUAAUUGAAAUCUUGAAUGAAUGGUAAAAUGAAAUAGAUACUUUAUUAUUUUAAAUAAUUAAUUUUAUUUUUUAGUUAAAAAGCUAAAAUUUUUUUAAGGGACGAGAAGACCCUAUAGAAUUUUAUUUAUUAAAAAAUUUUGUCAAUAUGUGUGUUAUUAAUUUAAAAUUAAUUUAAUAAAUUUUGUUGGGGCGAUAAUUAAAUUUAUUUAACUUUUAUAAAAAACUCAUUGAUUUAUGUAUAUUUGAUCUUAUUAUAUAGAUUAAAAAAUUAAAUUACCUUAGGGAUAACAGCAUAAUUUUAUUAAGGAGUUCUUAUUUUUAAUAAUGUUUAUGACCUCGAUGUUGAAUUAAAUAAAAUUAUUUUAUGGAGAUAUAAAAUAAAUAAGUCUGUUCGACUUUUAAUUAUUUACAUGAUUUGAGUUCAAACCGGUGUAAGCCAGGUCGGUUUCUAUCU